GCUGCUGGGUGCAGAGCCCGGGCGCCUUCCCACACAGGCCUGGUGUCACUCGCGCUGCCGGGAGAGGAGAGCCCAGGGCAAGCAGAGAAGGGUUCUGGGCCUGGCUGAACCUGACCAGCUCAGCUCCCUGGCACCAUGCCUGAGCCCUCCUGGAGCCGCGACACCGCCAUCUGUAAAACAGGGCUACACGUCUAGCCUGAAGAUUGCUUGAGCUGCUAGGAGCAGCCGCCCACCCCAGUACAGGGAAGCAGAGGGGCUCCGCAGAGAGUACAGGGUCCUGCUCCUUCCAACCCCCUGUCCUGGGGCCGGCGGGCCCUCAGCUGAGCACACACAUUUCACGGAACCCCGGUCUUCCGCCGCCUGCACACGGGAGUUGCACGUCACUCAGGCCGCAGAUCAAGCCGAGAACCUACCUCGCACCAGGACGUACCCGAGGAGCUGGGGACACCAGACAGACACCAAGGGGGCGGCACCGAUGUAAACGCACAGCACGCAGGACCCGGUUGAAGGACACCAGGCCAUGGAGAGACCCAGGACUCGAACCGCAGUGGACUACGUGGGAGUCUAGCAACGUAAUCAUUAUGACAUCUGCUGGUCCCUUGUCAGACAUUUCUAAAGAACUGUGUCAGCCAGUGGCAGGCCUGGAGUGGAGGACGCCCACCUACCAGCUUGGCACCCACUGGCCCAGCGCCCACGGUGACCCCUGUCCAGCUUAGUGGGAGUCAGGACUGGGGCGUGGCCCACCAGGGGCUCCACCUCCGCUGGUCAUCUUGGCAGCCCUCCGCCGAGGUCACUGGCUGUCCUUACAGGAGGCCGGACUUUCAGACAGCCUGAACGCUGACCUCCCACUGCCCUCUCCUGGCCACUGGACCAGAGCAGGCCCUUUAGUUCUAGGAGGGCAAGGCCCAGCUGCAGCUGGACAGAGAGCUCCUCCCUGGACAGAGACGUCCCGGACCAGGAGUCAGGGCUUUGGGCCUAGCCCUGCUCAUCCCACAUGGAAGCCACGCCCAUCUGUGGCCAGGAGCCCUGGAAACGUGCCCAGUGGCUCCCAGGAAAAGGACCACGCUGUGGCCAGCAUCGCACUGCAGGAGCAUGGGGCUCCAGUGCACUGGCCGGCAAACCACCGCUCUGGAAGACGGGAGUCAGCCCAGGUGACCUCGGCUGUCCAUGGCGGAGGGGCGCAUGCGGUGCUCUGAGCACUGGUUCAGGAGCCCCCAACGAAGCCCUGCAGGGACACGGGCUGCGGCACCUGCCCCACCUCUCGACCGCCCUGGCCCAUCUCCCAGCCCCUCCCCCCAGGCCUCCUGCUCCUGCCUGGGACACUGUCCCUGAGGCCUUCGCUGGGUGGCCACUACGUGGCGGGCCGCCCUCAGAGCCCUGGGGAAGCCGCGGCUCUGCACAUCACACUUCGUGCUUGCUUCCCCUUCCCUGCCUGGUUUUUCAUUCCUAUUGACAUCGUUAUGAAUUUAUUUAUUUCUUCCAUGAACGAGAGAGACACAGAGAGACACAGAGAAAGAGAGACAGCACCCCCAACAGGGUCCUGAUGCUGCAGUCCACAGCCAGCCCCAGCCAGUCCCCAUGGCAGCACACGCAUGCCCUGGGCACCCAGCCGUCCCCACACAGCCCGGAGCCCUCUGUGUGGGCCAGCCCUGCCAGGCGUCUCACUUUCCUGCUGUGCCACCAACUGGCCUUCCCUGCCGGGUUUUGCUCCAAGACCUUUAGGGUUGCGGACCCAGCAAAUAAAAGUACAGGACAUGGGAUCGGCA